UAGAAUUUAGAUGGAAAAACAAAUAGUAGCAGAUAAGCAUUUAUAUUGGCAUGAUUGGUUCCUGAUUUCCUGUUUUGAGGCUUUUAUUUUUUAAGACUUCCUUAUGCUACUGUAUCUAACAUGCCUCAGCUUUACCCUACACAUUAGUCACCUGAUGAUUUUCACCUGUGCCUCUUUGUCACAGGCCUCUCAUCUCUGCCUUCUGACCUCUGACUAGUUUUGGAUUAUGAUGAUUGGAUUUCUGACCUUUGUUUUUGCCUGUAAUGUGGACGGCCUUGUUGCCAGCCUUUGCCUGAUUCCUACCCUGAUUACCGGACUGUGGAUUUCUUGUUUCUUUGUGUAUUUUUGGUCUGAGCUCAGUUACCUAUUUUUGUUGUGUGCACACUGAAUAGGAGUAUUUUGGUGGGAUGCUUUGUUUUUGUGCUUGUGCUACCUACUCACCUGUAUCCCCCACAAUUAAGUGUGUUCAUCCAUCGAGCAGCUGUUAACUCCCUCAGAGGUUUCCUUGCAUGCUCACCUGGUUACCUACCUGCUCUGCCCACCAUCUGAAAGUAGUCACAUGCUCACCAGAGCUGCUGAGAACCUCCUAUAUAAGUAUCUAGUACCAUCACCUCCUGCCACUCCACCGUUGUCUCUGCCUUUUGCCUGCAAAGGAAAUAGAGCUCAUCUAGUACACAUCAGUGUGCCGACAGGCCCAACAUCCACUGCAUGGGCUCGCUAGAUUUCUCAAGUCAAGUGACAGUCUGCUGCCUCCCCUGACAGAAUGCGACACUGAGCCAAGUUUGAUGACUGAUGCAUAGAUUACAG